UCGAACGCGAAAGCCCGCAAGGGGCAAGUAGAGUGGCAAACGGGUGAGUAACACGUGGGUGACCUGCCUUCGAGCGGGGGAUAACGUCCCGAAAGGGACGCUAAUACCGCAUAACAUCCUGCCUUUGAAGAGGUGGAGAUCAAAGCUGGGGAUCGCAAGACCCGGCACUUGAAGAGGGGCCCGCGUCUGAUUAGCUAGUUGGUGGGGUAAUGGCUACCAAGGCAACGAUCAGUAUCCGGCCUGAGAGGGCGGACGGACACACUGGGACUGAGACACGGCCCAGACUCCUACGGGAGGCAGAAGUGGGGAAUUGUUCGCAAUGGGCACAAGCCUGACGACGCAACGCCGCGUGGAGGAUGAAGAUUUUCGGAUCGUAAACUCCUGUCGAAUGGGACGAACAGAUUGCGGUUUAACAGCCCGUAGUCCUGACGGUACCGUUAAAAGGAAACCCCGUCUAACUCCGUGCCAGCAGCCGCGGUAAUACGGGGGGGGUAAGCGUUGUUCGGAAUUACUGGGCGUAAAGGGCUCGUAGGCGACCAACUAAGUCAUACGUGAAAUCCCUCAGCUUAACUGGGGAUCUGCGUGUGAUACUGGCUGGCUUGGAUUUGGGAGAGGGAUUCGGAAUUCCAGGUGUAGCGGUGAAAUGCGUAGAUAUCUGGAGGAACACCGGUGGCGAAGUCGGCAUCCUGGACCAAUAUUGACUCUUAGAGCG
rnacentral:rRNA from 1 species